AACGAACGCUGGCGGCAUGCCUAACACAUGCAAGUCGAACGAGACCUUCGGGUCUAGUGGCGCACGGGUGCGUAACGCGUGGGAACCUGCACUUAGGUUCGGAAUAACUCCCCGAAAGGGGUGCUAAUACCGGAUAAUGUCUUCGGACCAAAGAUUUAUCGCCCUUGGAUGGGCCCGCGUUGGAUUAGCUAGUUGGUAGGGUAAAAGCCUACCAAGGCGACGAUCCAUAGCUGGUCUGAGAGGAUGAUCAGCCACACUGGGACUGAGACACGGCCCAGACUCCUACGGGAGGCAGCAGUGGGGAAUAUUGGACAAUGGGCGAAAGCCUGAUCCAGCAAUGCCGCGUGAGUGAUGAAGGCCUUAGGGUUGUAAAGCUCUUUUACCCGGGAUGAUAAUGACAGUACCGGGAGAAUAAGCUCCGGCUAACUCCGUG
rnacentral:rRNA from 1 species